GCUAUUACCAGUGCAAGAUGGGAGUUGGUUCAAGUUGCUUUGUUAUGCCAGUGAUAGAUACACAUUCUUUUGAGAUUGCCGUGAUUACAUCAUGAAUGAUGGGUCAUGAUGCUAUGACAUUGAUUGUGUAAUUUGAGCUGGCUUUAGGAAUUGGUUUUUUUUUUUCCCUUAAUUUUUUAAAGUUCAGAUUGGCAGAAGAUGAAGGAAAGAAAGAGUUGUAAUAGAAGGGCUAUCAAGGAAAUAAUGGGGGUGAUAUAUCAGUGGAAGGGUCAAUUCAACUCCGAGGAGAUUGGAGGGACACACUUUGAUUUAAAAGAAUGAGUAACAGAGUCAAGGGACACCUCUGAUUUAAAAAAAAAUGAAUAAUAGUAUAUAUGGAAUCAAAGUAACAAAUGGUCAAGUUAUUUGACAUGAGGGAGAUUUCAUAUAGCGAAUCAGCUGUUGAUGUCCAAUGUUAGCUUCUAGCUUGCUUGUUAGGAUCUUAGUAGUCUACUAUGUAGCUCACCUGUUACCUUCCUUCAUGGGGCAUAUGUUAUAUAAUGGUGUCCCUUGGUUGUCCAGAUUAGAAUGGUAUUCAUAUCGAUUCCUUAAGUCUGUUUAAAUUUCUGGUUUCAAAUCUCUCU